rnacentral:rRNA from 1 species
AUGAACGCUGGCGGCGUGCCUAAUACAUGCAAGUCGAGCGAACAGACGAGGAGCUUGCUCCUCUGACGUUAGCGGCGGACGGGUGAGUAACACGUGGAUAACCUACCUAUAAGACUGGGAUAACUUCGGGAAACCGGAGCUAAUACCGGAUAAUAUAUUGAACCGCAUGGUUCAAUAGUGAAAGACGGUUUUGCUGUCACUUAUAGAUGGAUCCGCGCCGCAUUAGCUAGUUGGUAAGGUAACGGCUUACCAAGGCGACGAUGCGUAGCCGACCUGAGAGGGUGAUCGGCCACAUUGGAACUGAGACACGGUCCAGACUCCUACGGGAGGCAGCAGUAGGGAAUCUUCCGCAAUGGGCGAAAGCCUGACGGAGCAACGCCGCGUGAGUGAUGAAGGUCUUCGGAUCGUAAAACUCUGUUAUUAGGGAAGAACAAAUGUGUAAGUAACUAUGCACGUCUUGACGGUACCUAAUCAGAAAGCCACGGCUAACUACGUG